UCUUUUUCCACCGGCAGCUUGCUCUCACCGUGGAAAAAGAGGAGUGGCGAACGGGUGAGUAACACGUGGGUAACCUGCCCAUCAGAAGGGGAUAACACUUGGAAACAGGUGCUAAUACCGUAUAACAAUCAAAACCGCAUGGUUUUGAUUUGAAAGGCGCUUUCGGGUGUCGCUGAUGGAUGGACCCGCGGUGCAUUAGCUAGUUGGUGAGGUAACGGCUCACCAAGGCCACGAUGCAUAGCCGACCUGAGAGGGUGAUCGGCCACAUUGGGACUGAGACACGGCCCAAACUCCUACGGGAGGCAGCAGUAGGGAAUCUUCGGCAAUGGACGAAAGUCUGACCGAGCAACGCCGCGUGAGUGAAGAAGGUUUUCGGAUCGUAAAACUCUGUUGUUAGAGAAGAACAAGGAUGAGAGUAACUGUUCAUCCCUUGACGGUAUCUAACCAGAAAGCCACGGCUAACUACGUGCCAGCAGCCGCGGUAAUACGUAGGUGGCAAGCGUUGUCCGGAUUUAUUGGGCGUAAAGCGAGCGCAGGCGGUUUCUUAAGUCUGAUGUGAAAGCCCCCGGCUCAACCGGGGAGGGUCAUUGGAAACUGGGAGACUUGAGUGCAGAAGAGGAGAGUGGAAUUCCAUGUGUAGCGGUGAAAUGCGUAGAUAUAUGGAGGAACACCAGUGGCGAAGGCGGCUCUCUGGUCUGUAACUGACGCUGAGGCUCGAAAGCGUGGGGAGCAAACAGGAUUAGAUACCCUGGUAGUCCACGCCGUAAACGAUGAGUGCUAAGUGUUGGAGGGUUUCCGCCCUUCAGUGCUGCAGCUAACGCAUUAAGCACUCCGCCUGGGG
rnacentral:rRNA from 1 species